rnacentral:rRNA from 1 species
GAUGAACGCUGGCGGCGUGCUUAACACAUGCAAGUCGAACGAAACACCGUAUUUGAUUUUCUUCGGAACUGAAGAGUUGGUGAUUGAGUGGCGGACGGGUGAGUAACGCGUGGGUAACCUGCCCUGUACAGGGGGAUAACAGUCAGAAAUGACUGCUAAUACCGCAUAAGACCACAGCACCGCAUGGUGCAGGGGUAAAAACUCCGGUGGUACAGGAUGGACCCGCGUCUGAUGAGCUGGUUGGUGAGGUAACGGCUCACCAAGGCGACGAUCCGUAGCCGGGUUGAGAGAGUGAACGGCCACAUUGGGAGUGAGACACGGCCCAAACUCCUACGGGAGGCAGCAGUGGGGAAUAGUGCACAAUGGGGGAAACGCUGAUGCAGCGACGCCGCGUGAAUGAAGAAGUAUUUCGGUAUGUAAAGCUCUAUCAGCAGGGAAGAAAAUGACGGUACCUGACUAAGAAGCCACGGCUAACUACGUG